CAGUCGAGGGGCAGCAUUUCAGUUUGCUUGCAAACUGGAGAUGGCGACCGGCGCACGGGUGAGUAACACGUAUCCAACCUGCCGAUAACUCGGGGAUAGCCUUUCGAAAGAAAGAUUAAUACCCGAUGGUAUAAUUAGACCGCAUGGUCUUGUUAUUAAAGAAUUUCGGUUAUCGAUGGGGAUGCGUUCCAUUAGGCAGUUGGUGAGGUAACGGCUUACCAAACCUUCGAUGGAUAGGGGUUCUGAGAGGAAGGUCCCCCACAUUGGAACUGAGACACGGUCCAAACUCCUACGGGAGGCAGCAGUGAGGAAUAUUGGUCAAUGGGCGCAGGCCUGAACCAGCCAAGUAGCGUGAAGGAUGACUGCCCUAUGGGUUGUAAACUCCUUUUAUAUGGGAAUAAAGUUUUCCACGUGUGGAAUUUUGUAUGUACCAUAUGAAUAAGGAUCGGCUAACUCCGUGCCAGCAGCCGCGGUAAUACGGAGGAUCCGAGCGUUAUCCGGAUUUAUUGGGUUUAAAGGGAGCGUAGGUGGACAGUUAAGUCAGUUGUGAAAGUUUGCGGCUCAACCGUAAAAUUGCAGUUGAUACUGGCUGUCUUGAGUACAGUAGAGGUGGGCGGAAUUCGUGGUGUAGCGGUGAAAUGCUUAGAUAUCACGAAGAACUCCGAUUGCGAAGGCAGCUCACUGGACUGCAACUGACACUGAUGCUCGAAAGU
rnacentral:rRNA from 1 species